AUUGAACGCUGGCGGCAGGCUUAACACAUGCAAGUCGAGCGAGAAAGCACUUCGGUGCGAGUAUAGCGGCGGACGGGUGAGUAACGCGUAGGAAUCUACCCAGUAGCGGGGGACAACAUGUGGAAACGCAUGCUAAUACCGCAUACGCCCUAAGGGGGAAAGGGGGCUCUUUGAGCUCUCACUAUUGGAUGAGCCUGCGUAAGAUUAGCUAGUUGGUGAGGUAAUGGCUCACCAAGGCGACGAUCUUUAGCUGGUCUGAGAGGAUGAUCAGUCACACUGGAACUGAGACACGGUCCAG
rnacentral:rRNA from 1 species